GCCGUCGUCGCGCCGCCGCUACCACAGCUCGGCCCUCGGCGUUCACGUCAGACGCAAUUCCGACACGGCGGGAGUCGUACGUUCCGCGAUCACACGCACACACCGCGACAUUUUUACCUUUUACACACCGAACACACACCACCACCACCACCACCACACAUACCCUUCUACCUACCUCCUAUCAUUACACACACACAACACACACAGCGUCCGAUUCCAGUUUUCGUUUUCAUUUUUCAAUAUUUUUGUUUGCCGGAUAAAACGAUCAAUUUCACAACGGAACGACGCCGAUCCCUGUAUUUACUUUUGUUGCCGGCCCGCGUGUACCUAUCACUAUAAAUACAACGAGACCCGUCGCUACCGGUUCCGCCGUCCCUGCCCUCAUCCCACCACCCUAACCGCCGCAGCUAACAUCAGACCCGUCGUCGCCGCCAAAACCGUGAACGCAACGACGUCGCCGAGCAACAGGAACCCGUCCCGGCCCCCAGUGGUGCCCCCAUGUUGGCGCUGAAAGUGGUCGUCGCACAGCGUUACACCCACCCGGUUGAAUCGUGGAGGCCGUCGCCGUUGGCGGGUUGAAGAGGGCCCGAGGUGCUGUGUACAACGGACCGGAGGCCGCCGCCGCCGCUGCCACCCUCAAGAAGUUCAGACUGGACGCAGCCACGGCCGCCGCAGCCGCAGCCGCAGCGAUGAACAUGCCGCCCACAGGCCACACACCACCCCUGGCCCAGCAGCAGCAGCAGGCCGCACAGGGCACCGCGAACACGACGGUCGCGGUCGGCGACGGCGGCCAAUCCGUCGUCGUGCCCGGUAUGUGCAACAACAUCGAUUCUGUCGGGCCCGGCGAGGAAGAGGUGAGAACAUUAUUCGUCAGUGGUCUACCAAUGGACGCCAAGCCUCGAGAACUUUACCUGCUGUUUCGAGCAUAUGAGGGUUACGAAGGAUCUCUGUUAAAAGUGACAAGCAAAAAUGGCAAAACAGCUUCACCAGUGGGUUUCGUUACGUUUCAAACAAGGGCUGGUGCCGAAGCGGCCAAACAAGACCUUCAGCAGGGCGUCCGGUUCGAUCCUGACAUGCCGCAAACCAUACGGCUAGAAUUCGCUAAAAGCAACACGAAGGUUAGCAAGCCAAAACAGCCCGCCAACGCAAACGUCACGCCCAACACGCACCAAGGCCUGAUGCACCCGCUCACCGGACAUCUAGGCGCCCCGUUCUUCACCGGCGCCCCGGCCGAGCUAUGGCAUCAUCCGCUGGCGUACGCCGACAUGCCGACCGCCGCCACGGCCACGGCCCUGCAACACGCCGCACUCGUCCAUCCGGCGCUGCAUCCACAUCCGCAACAGCCGACGUUGACGCUGGGCCCACAUGGCCUUCCGUUCCUGCCCUCCCCUGCACUGCCCUCGCCGCCCAACCACCAGCAGCCCCAGCCGCCCUGUUCCACGCUGUUCGUCGCCAACCUCGGGCAGUUUGUGUCUGACCACGAGCUUAAAGACAUUUUCGCCAGAACGAGUUACAGUCAGUCAAAGCAGACGUUUAAUUAUUGGCCGACGGCCUAUAAAUGAAGACAUUGAUAGACGUAUUUCUCUAUACCCAUGUACAUAAGAAAAUAUAUAAGGGAGUAUGCUGGCCAAAAGAAAUUGGACAACGUCAAUUUCACGUAUACUCACAUGCAGUUGAACAACACUUGACAACAACAAGA
rnacentral:misc_RNA from 1 species